GUAAGUAAGACCCAAUCUUAAACGGAAGAGGGGGAUGGUCUAGCGGGGGCGCGUUAAUGGGUACCUCGGCCAGUCCCAGACACAUCCGGGUCUUCAGCAGCCCAUUAAGUGUCGGGGGUCAAAAAAUCGCUUCGGGCUGCAACUUUACCUUAGAGACGUUUUGGUCCCCAGGCAGCCGCCGUACCCCAGUAUCCCCAAACCGGGAUUCCCCCUUGGCCCGCUCUCAUUCUUCUAAUUCUAAAGAUGGAGACUGGCGAGCUGCGUUGGGCUCUGCGUUGGGUGGUGUUUCAUCGCGACAGAAUCCAAGAAUUUCCCGAUAGAAGUCGCUUUAGGCUCUUGGGCCUUGCUGUCUCUUUGGGGCGUGGUCUGUCUCCGUCUGCCAAAGGCCUUGAGCUUCCUGGUCUCCAUCGAACCUCAGCGCGGUCCUGUCGUGACCAAACCACGACAGCAGAGAAAAAGGCAGCGAGCCACAUUGCUGAGCAGUUACGGGCCCUUCUUCAAGGGCUGCAAGGAGACACGAGAAACACGGUGGUGGAAGACACCAAGCUGAGGAAGACACUAGUGAGGCCUGAGAAAAUGCCUUUCAGUGAAAUGAAACCAGGCUGUGGAGGGGGACUUUCAAUCUGGAGCGAUCAAGCUCCACAGAAGAUGAGGAAAAACUGAGGCACAGCAGUUAAGCAACUUGUUUGAUGUAAUAAAAUUAGUAAGUGGCAGAGACAACAUUUAAUUAAAAUUUGUCAUACUCGAGCCUAUACACUCUAAAGUCUGGGAAGAGAAAUUGGGCCAGGUAGUUUGGGCAUAUCCUUCCCCUUAUACAGCGACCUGGGCUGCAGGACAGAGAGAUGUCAGAUGCCAUGGUGAGUACUUUGCCUUUGGAAUUCCCAGAUGUUCUUGUGGUUAAAGAAUUCUGUAGUUCUACUCAUCUGACCGUAGGCCUCUAGAAGGAAGCCCCAAAAUAGAAGCAUAAACUGGCAGGCAGAAUCCAUUAUCAUUAUUGUGAACCAAGGGGCACUCUAGACCAAGAAGUUGUAUUAAG
rnacentral:lncRNA from 1 species